UUAGCUCCUCCGACCUUAGAGGAUCUGAUUCGCUUGUGGCUAAGCUUCCGGGGAUUGAGAAGGUACUCUAGCCCAUCUUCAUGAACAGAUUCAUACUCUUUUAUUUAAGAGCCUUGCUCCUGUAAGUGCAGUACUGCCUAGAUAAUUGCACUUCAUGACUCAUUGGCUCUAGAAGAGUAUGAAGGUACUUGGCUGCAGAAUGCAGAAACAUGAGGUUGAGGAAACAUUUCAAAAGUGGAGAGAUUACAUGAGGAAAGUUGCUGAGAGAGGACAUCUGCAAGAAAAAUAGAGCCAUAAAGGAGGUAGAGGAGGAUAACAUAUUUAGGGAAACAAACAAUAUACCUACAAAUGUUAUGUUCUUUUGGAGAGAUUAGGAUUUAAAUUUAUGUACUAGCUAGUUUUGUUCGUGUGUAGUUUAAGAAAAAGAUGACUAAUACGUCAUAUUGAUUGGGAUGCUUGUUCAAAGCACGUAACAUUGUGA